rnacentral:ncRNA from 12 species
AAUCUAUGAUGUGCUUGCUUUGUCAGAGAAGUGAAGUGCGGAGAUUUUACCAACGGUUUAUGUAUUCAGCCGUUUCUGACUAGAAGUUUUUAACUUUGAACAAAAAAUACAUUUA